rnacentral:rRNA from 1 species
UUGCACAAUGGGCGCAAGCCUGAUGCAGCCAGUGCCGCGUGUAUGAAGAAGGCCUUACGGGUUGUAAAGUACUUUCAGCAGUGAGGAAGGUGGAUAUGUUAAUAGCAUAUUCAUUUGACGUUAGCUGCAGAAGAAGCACCGGCUAACUCCGUGCCAGCAGCCGCGGUAAUACGGAGGGUGCGAGCGUUAAUCGGAAUUACUGGGCGUAAAGCGCAUGCAGGUGGUUUGUUAAGUCAGAUGUGAAAGCCCCGGGGCUCAACCUCGGAAUUGCAUUUGAAACUGGCAAACUAGAGUACUGUAGAGGGGGUAGAAUUUCAGGUGUAGCGGUGAAAAUGCGUAAAGAUCUGAAGGAAUACCGGUGGCGAAGGCGGCCCCCUGGACAGAUACUGACACUCAGAUGCGAAAGCGUGGGGAGCAAACAGGAUUAGAUACCCUGGUAG